rnacentral:rRNA from 1 species
AUUGAACGCUGGCGGCAGGCCUUACCAAUGCAAGUCGAACGAGUGGCGGACGGGUGAGUCAUGUCUGGGAAACUGCCUGAUGGAGGGGGCUAACUACUGGAAACGGUAGCUAAUACCGCAUACCAUCGGAUGUGCCCAGAUGGGAUUAGCUAGAAGGUGGGGUACAGGCUCACCUAGGCGACGAUCCCUAGCUGGUCUGAGAGGAUGACCAGCGACACAGAAACGUAGACACGGUGCAGACUCCUACGAGAGGCAGCAGUGGGGAAUAUUGCACAGUGAGCGCAAGCCUGAUGAAGCCAUACCGCGUGUAUGAAGAAGGCCUUCGGGUUGUAAAGCACUUUCAGCGGGGAGGCGUUACCCGCAGAAGAAGCACCGGCUAACUCCGUGCCAGCAGCCGCGGUAAUAC